UACGUAGGGUGCAAGCGUUGUCCGGAAUUAUUGGGCGUAAAGAGCUCGUAGGCGGUUUGUCGCGUCUGCUGUGAAAACGCGAGGCUCAACCUCGCGCCUGCAGUGGGUACGGGCAGACUAGAGUGCGGUAGGGGAGAUUGGAAUUCUUGGUGUAGCGGUGGAAUGCGCAGAUAUCAGGAGGAACACCGAUGGCGAAGGCAGAUCUCUGGGCCGUAACUGA
rnacentral:rRNA from 1 species